AACACACUUUCCAGUUUGCUGUGGUAGGACUACCUUGUCCCUGACUAAGAGUUUGAAUAUAAAGACAUGUCUUGUUCCUAUACUUGGAAGAGAAAAACUCUAAUCGUGUUCUUUUUAGCUGCAUCUUGACUACGAAGGAUGACUAAGAAAAAUGAGUCACUAGCCUGUAUUAGUUUAUUUGAUAGAUGAUUUCCCAAAAUUAAAUGCAAACUUCUUAAUAAAUGUGCCUGGGAUCAAGAAGUUAAUCCCCAUAGCUUUUCAGCCAGAUGACGUGUAGAUUUUCAGUGGCCACUAAUAACGUGGGGUUAUAAUUAUUAUUAUGCAUGUGAUUUAAGUUAUUGUGCUGAUAUUUUAGUAUUAAAAUAUGCUUGCCCUUGUGUCAGUGUCUCAUUAAGGAGGAAAAAAAUCAAUUUAAAUAGGCAAAUGAAAGAAGUUACGUGCCGUGAAACACAAAACACAGAAGAGUAAUUGGAUUUGUGCAUUAUGCAGCACAUUUCAGCCAAAGGUUUAUUUUAAAAAAAAUACAUGUAAAGCUUGUGACAUUAUGCUUUUCUGGAAAAAAUACAUUUUAUAACUGUUUUGAAAUGCACAGUACAAUGUAUUCAACAGAAAAACAGGCCAUGAGUUAAAAGCGAGGUUGUUUACAUAACAGUGAUUCAUUGAGUGGUCAUCUGUUAAUUCACACAACCCAUAUGUGUGAGUUCGCAGACUACCCAAAGAAAUAUAGUGAAAGAUAAGGAAUCUGUCAUGACCUUUGUAAUGGUUUAUGUGGAAUGCCUUAAUUAGGCUCAUGUCAUGUUGGGUAAAGUCGAAGGAUGUGAGUUGCCCACUGGAAUGCAUACUUUUAGUAGAACAGGUUGCCCACUCCCUGCAGCCCUUCUUUGCUCCCUAAAUCUUUCUUCAGGAUAGACAAUGCACAGGGACAUGCAGGUAUAAAGAAGGAAAGUUUAAUUGCAUCAGCAGAAGUCAUCUGAUAGAAUAUUGCAUUUUAACUUCUAACUUUAUUUAUUUUUUUUACAUUCUAAUCUAGUGUGACUGAAUGAUGAUACUAGCAUUAUAAAUUAAAAUAAGUUGUUAUUUCUUGAUCUUGAAGACUUGGGCCUGAAUCUAAUUGCUGGAUUAGACAUAAUGAAACAGUUACUGAAUGGUAAUUCAACACAUACAUAAAAACCAGAUUCUUAAUUAAUUCAGACCAUAGCCAAUAUAUGAGGCACUCUGACUCUGUUUAGUGGUGUUUGCUUCAGAGAUUUUGGAGAAAAGAUGAGUUGUAAAUAGUAACAGAUCAAGCCUAAAUCUGAUUUUAUCUCUUUACUAUCAGUAUAGCAAGGAGAAAGCAGAUUUAGGCUCGAUCUGCACUGCCAGAUAAUGCAGUGGUAAAUAAUAUGGUAAGUGUCGACCUAUGUACUACAGUUCAAUGAAGUUCAAACUGAAUUAUAUGGCUCUACACUAACCUUAUAUAGUAAUGCAGUUAAAUUGCCUGAUUUUGCAGCGUAUAUCCAGGCCCAGACUAUUGAGCUGUAGUUCUAAAUUUAAUUAUUGGUGAGAACUUUGGUUCAUGUUAUUAUUUUAAGUUAGGAAUUGAUAACUGUAGAAGGAUAGGGGGCUAUCUUAGUCCCUCCCUGGAGAACAUGGAGGGCUUCCUCAUGUUGUUUCAAUAAGGCCUCUCUUUGGUCUGAACUGACUCAGAAUGAGUCCAGAAUGUGGUUGAAAUUCCUCUUGUGUCAUUUAGAAGAUAUUUUGGGACAAGUUUGGAAAAUAUUUUUUGUAAAAAUUUUCUUUGACACCUGAGUUGGGGCAGGUAGUCUCCAAACGUGGUUUGCGCUUCCUAGAAGGCUUUUGGGAAUAUUUUGUGGCAAACAAAAGUUCCCUAAGCCAGGGCUUCAUAAACCUUUCUACUCAGGACCCCUUUUGACCUGAGAAAUGUUUUCGUGACCUCAGAUAUAUUGAUAUAUAAAACAGAUAUAAAUUAAACAUUUAUGGAUAAACAGCAUUUGCAAAGCUUGCUAAAUAGGCUGGUUUUCCUUUAUGAAGUACAUCUGAAGUGUCUUUUGCAGACUCCACUGUAAACAUUGCACAACAGGUUCAUGUAAAUGUCUAAAACAGCUACUUGGUGACGUUCAGAAUUUUUUUUUACUGUUGCUAAAUUUUUUGGUAGGCCUCUGAACCCACAGUUUAAGAAGCAGUGCCCUAAGCAACCUCUAGUGAGAAAGGCAGAAGCAAGCUCCCUGUUGUAAUCCUCCCUCUCAUAAAAGAUUGCUGAGCAAAGCCCAUCAGUCAAUUGAUAGGGGAAACAGAUCCCCAUCACUUGCAGUGGCUGCUGCCUGAUAAAUGAAAAUUGCUGGACUUUCACAGUCUCAAUGUAUUUUUUUUAACUAGGGGAUACGUCAGAAUUGUGAAUAUGAAACUUUUGUGUAAUGUUAGCUUAUAUAUUCAGAAGUGACUUAAUUAAUUCCAGCCGUCAUUCCGAUGUUACCUAUUUCUAGUGGCUGAGACUCAGAGAUAGUAGAAAUAUAUAAUUUCAUGAACAGUCUGUGAAUGUGAAAAUAAAAUGAAAUCUGUAUUGUCAUCUCUGAGGCUUUGGUACAAUGCUAUCUACCUCAAAAAUGAAAAACAUGUUUUGUAUAAAAUCUUAAUAUAUUCAUAUUGGCACUUAGUCUAAGUGCAAGUCCAGUAACUUUACCUUGGUUUCUUUGGGGGGCAUUAACUGUGGGGAUGUGUUAUAAUAAAAUAAAAUGCUUUAGGAUGAACGUUCAAAUAGAGAAGUAUUUCAUUCUUCCGCUUCUCUGCUCCCAGUUGCUUUCUGCUAUACAGUAUUUCAAAUGUGUGCUUGCUGUUAGUGCUGAAGGAUGAAAUGAAGAAACACAAAGUGCAUUCUGCCUCUGUUCUGAACCGUUCUCCACUAACAUAGAUUUUAUCAUAUUAAAAGGACCCUGUGGGUAAUACAUUAUGGUACAGCUCUGGGAACAAUAUCUUGAAGUGGGAAACAAAGUCCCUCAACUUUGACAUCACAGGAAACUCCAUAGAAAACUAAGGUUUGAAUACAAUUGGCAUUAUAUUAUUAUUAUUAUUAUUAUUAUUAUUAUUAUUAUUAUUAUUAUUAUUAUUUAUACCCCACUUUUUCUCUUCACAAGGAGGCUCAAAGCAGUAUUUUAAUAAAAAAUAAAUGGCAUUAAAAUUUCACAGUUGUAAUCCAUAAAAAUGUAAUCAAAGCUAAAAACUACAGUACCCCUAACCUGAUCUUAAAAACCUUAAAAACAAGAUCCAAAAUUCACAGAACAUCAAUACUUUUAUCGACCAACCAGAAUGCACAAACACACAUCUUGCUAGGUUUUGAAGCUCCACUGGGUUACUCAUCAAGCAAAAGGUGUUUAAAAAAUCAUAGCAGAGUUUUAAAAAGAAAUGGUGUUGAAGUCACAGGCUGAUAUUUUGUAUUAGAAGUUGUUUCUGUUUCUCAGUGCAGGCCAAGAACACUGCCCUAUUGGCUAUGUGGGGGUUGGGAUUAUUUUACAAUCAUAAACUGGUUUGUAUAAAUUAUAGUGCAAUAUGAUGUUUAAAUGGAUAAACAACAGUUGGAGCUUUUGCUGUCUUUCUAAAUGUGCUAUAGAGACUAGUAUGAACUUGUGAAUUGAAGUGUUGAUUGAUGGAAUGGUGAAUGAAAGCCAAGAAGUCCUGGAUUGGAAAGAGGUGGGAUAUAAAUAUAAUAACAGCAACAACAAUAAUUAUAAUAUCACUUAUAAGCUGUAGUAUUAAGUGUACUUACCCAGAAUAUGUUUAUACACGUCUAUUGUACACAGUAGGAUUUAGAUCCAGGAAACAUAGAUGGAAUUGUUUUAUAGUUCAUGGGUUGCCUUUUGUACAUUUGGAAGCACAGGAUUUAAUUGGGGAGCUUAACUAUGCAUCAUAAAAGUCAUGCUUUGCAAGGCCUAAACAAAGUACAGUUGAAAGAAUUAAUUUUCAUUUUAUUUUGCUCUGCAAAGGUAAUUAAAGCAUCUUGUUUAGGGAAAGGUUAUUUUCAGUAAGCCCUGGGUUAAUGAAAUUGGUUCAGUUUGAUAUACCACUGACAAGCUGCUAUUGCUUCUCAUUUUUUGGAUCCUUUCCCAGACAUUCUGCCUGGCCAUCCAAAUAAUGCCAUCAAGCAUUGACUUCUUAGAGCAAGCUGAUCAUAGCUAUGUGCUGGUUCAAAUGUAAUGAAAAGCUAUAGCUUACCAUAGCUUUAGUGAUCUCAGGCUUGUACCAUCAAUGAUCAGUAAUGUAAGUGGGCGUGUGAGUCUUCCUCCACUGAUAUGCUUGAGCUAUGGGCUCCCAAUAGCCUGUGUACAACACCUGUUCUCAUUUAAUAGCAAGAAAAAAAUGUAAAAGCUUUCACUUCUCUUUCAGAAUAACAGCAGUUUGCUGUAUUUUUAAAAUUCAGACAAACUGGUUCAUCGUAUUGUAGCUUAUUAAAAGGAAGCACUUCAAACUUGCGGCAAUCUUUCAUGUACAGUAGAGUCUCACUUAUCCAACAUAAACGGGCCGGCAGGACAUUGGAUAAGCGAAAAUGUUGGAUAAUGAAGGAUUAAGGAAAAGCCUAUUAAACGUCAAAUGAUGUUAUGAUUUUACAAAUUAAGCACCAAAACAUUAUGUUUUACAACAAAUCGACUGAAAAAGCCAUUCAAUACAUGGUAACGUUCUGUCGUAAUUACUGUAUUUACGAAUUUAGCACCAAAACAUUGCAAUGUAUUGGAAACAUUGACUACAAAAACAUUGGCUACUAACAAAUAGACUACAAAUAAAGAUAGAAUUGCAUAAAAUGAACUUACAGUAACAACAUUGUCGGAAAUUAAAUCUGUAAAAAGUUCAGUCCUUGUUGCCUAGUGAAACAGCUGUGGAUCUGAAUGGGAGGCAGACUGCGUUGGAUAAUCCAGAACAUUGGAUAAGCGAAUGUUGGAUAAGGGAGACUACUGAAUUUCUAAAUAAUGUUUUAUCGAUGUACUAAGUCAGAUGUAAUUAUUGUAUAGAUUUUAUUGCACUUUGUAUUUCUUUGUUUCACAUUCUAUUUUACCUACACAUUUUAAAAAACAAACAUUAAUGAUUUCUCAUUAAUAUAUUUCCUUUUCUUGCAUAUAAUUUGGGGUAGCGGUUAUGAUUAAUUAGUUGCAGUAUGUAGUAGCUUCACAUCUAGCACUAUUAGACAAGCUUAUAUUUAUUUGCUGAAAGUGAUGAGCCACUGAGAUAGUAAAAUUCCUAACGAAAAAAUCCUCAUUUAUAUGCCAAUUAGUUAAUUCAAGAUACAUAACCCAACAAAUAGAUGAAUUCCCCCUAUUCCCACACACAUCAUGCAUUUAUCACCUGAUAUUUACUUUUGCUUUUAUUUCUGUGAUCUGUUUUCCCUCAGAUAGUGAUGUAUUGUUUUGCUCAAUGCACUAAGGUAGAUUUACACUAUUUUCAAAGCCAUUUAAGUAUUACUAGGGGCCCAUUGAGACAGGGCUCAAAAUGCAAGCGCCCUCGUGCUUUUACUGGAGGUGUCCAAACAACGCCUCUGGUAAAAGUGAAUUAAUUCAAGACAAAGCAGGAAAACCCUUAUGUGUCCUGAAUUAAUUAGAUAGCCCAUUAGAUCUGAGCCUUUCUGAAAGACUCAGUUCUAAUGGGCUAUGACCCCUAUAGGGACAGACCCACAGGUAGUCGCGCGACAACCUAGGGGUUGUCCACACACACAUCUCACCCCUUUUGGGCUCCUGGAGCCUAAAGGUGUGAGAUGGCGCCUCCCUUCCCAACUUCCCCAAAAGCUUUAAAAAUAAAGAAAAUCUUACCAGCCUACCAUUAGCCUCUCUGAAGCUUCCUGGAACAUACCAAUGAUGCACCAGGAAGUGAGGGGAAAUAGCUCCUCCCCCCACCUUCUUGUGUGUCAUUUGUACCUUCCAGGAUCCUGAAGAGGCCUAAUGAUGGCCCAGUAAGAUUUUCUUUAUUUUUAAAGCAUUUUGCGGGGAAGGUUGGGAUCGCCCCAUUCCAACACGGUUGUUACCAUGCUGGAAUGUGGACAGGCCCCAGGGAAAGCCCAGGUUUGGAGGGUAGAUGUAUAGACUUUAACCUCCUUCAAAGUGGGUUUCUUAAAACCACUCCGAAAUAGGUUUAAUGUCUGUCAGGAACUGUCCUACGUUGGUUAAGUAUGCUGUAGCCAACCUGUGACAUACAGUUGUCCUUACUGUGGCCCAAGAGAGACCCAGCCCCAUCUAUGGGUUGCGGGUAGGAUUGCCAGUUGAAAAACAGGGCAUGACGCUUAUUAUACCUUUGUAGAAGAGAAAAUUUUGACAGAUACUACUUGAUGUCAACAUGGUGUAGCAUUUUGUGUUUUGGACUAUGUGAGACUCCAGGAUUCAAAUCCCCACUCAGCCAUAUAAACCUAUUUGGUGAUCUUGAACAAGUCAUACCCUUUCAGCUUCAGAAGAAGACAAGCCUCCCUCUGAACAAAUUCUACCAAUCAAAUCCUGUCAGAAAUUUUCCUUAGGGACAUCAUAUGUUAGAAAUCACAUGAAGGCACAUGACAAUAACCUUGCCACAAGUACAAUCUCCUGAAAUCCCCACUUACACAUGACUCUUAAGACUACAAUACAUCUCUGUCAUGUUUUUCAACUAAUUGCAAGUAAGAAUGUGUUUUGGCAAAUGGCUUGGUGGGGAUUCUUUAGCCUCUUUGUCAGGAACUCAAGAGCAACUUUGAUCACUGUUUUAUGUCAUAAGACAUGAACUGUACUUUUAAGGUUAUUGAGUGUGUUCUUAUGGUCAUGUAAUCUGAAAGUAUAUUGAGUGGGAUUUGCAAACCAGAAUUUGGAGACAAGUCGCUGAUGAUAGUUUGCCAGUUAAGAUAUCAUGUGAAAUACAGGAAAUGGAGACGUUAAUCCACAAAAAAUGUUAUCCCUAUUCCCAUUUUUGCCAAAAGGAUGUGAUGUCAUUUCUUUUGGGCAGCAGCAGUCAUGGCAAAUGCACGCAUUUAUGACCUUUCACUUAAAAUUCCAAACAUUAAAAUUGAGGAUUUGCUUCUCCAAACUAUUUUCCUAUCUGGUUAAAUGUAAAAUUAGUUCCUGAAUUCAAAUGUAUACUAUAACUUUAUGCUAUAGUAAAAUGCAUAAUAUGCUAUAUUCAUGAUCAUCAUAUUUGUAUUUAAUAAGUUUAAAACUUUAUAAUAAUGCACUUUUUAGAAUUAUACUUAUGUUCGUUGUGUAUAUUUGAUUCUUGUGCACUACUAAUUUGUAUGUGUGUGUAUCAGAGAGAGAGAGAGCUAGAGAGAGACUUAAAUUAACAUAACUAAAGGGGAUAUGUUCCCAACCUUUGCAUAGAUAAAAAAAAUAGCAUGCCUUAUUGUUUUUUAAUGGGAUAAACAGUGGAGGUUUUGAGAAGAUGAUGCAGCUUGUUCUGGAAACCCUAAGUGAAUAAGUGAAACUGUGGCUAAGUGAAACUGCAUUUAUUGGUUCAAACACAUACAUGGUCACAUAUUCCAGUUUGAUGUCUGGUUCUCCAAACACUUUGGGCUAGUUUGAACGUGAUCUGUUCUGCUUAAAGACUUUGGAUUCAGCUGGAUAAUUUGCACAGAGUUAGAAUACAUCAUUUCCUUGUUUAGAAUUUAAUAAGAUAUAGGAAAAUAGCUUGGAUAGUUUCAGGACAAAACUUGUAUUUAAAAUAAAUGAAUAUAAGUCCUGUCUUGAAACUAUAAAAUUUCACUGAAUGUUCUCCUUUGACUUGUUGGAGAGGAAAAGGGACAGUGUGUCCUGGGUCAGCCUGCUCAGCAACUGCUCUUGAAAUGGAAUAGACAUUUAGGGGAAUGGUUUUUUUUUUAUUUCUUGUUAGUUGUAUUAACAUCCUGUCUAAGGAGCUCAGAGUGAUGUACAUGGAGUUCCUAGGCAGUCAUAUUUCUGGAAUUUCAGUUGACCUACAUCUGCUCAACUUUUAUAGAGGAACACAGGAAAUAUAUUCUUUCAAUAUGUGGAUUGAUUAAUGAUAAAUUGCACACACACACAGAAAAAGGAAUAUAAUUUUCUCUUAGGUGACACUGUAUAAUUUUAUUGUGUAUAUCAUCUUGUGUGUAUUGACUCUAUUUCUACUGUACCCAGUCUUCCUCCUUGCCUCUGGAUUAAUUUAAAAUGCGAUAGUAUAAAUGGUCCCUCAUUUUGGGCCUGUCUGGGUGGGCCCUGAGUAAAGAAGAAGCAGCCUAAAUUGUUACUGUUCCUACAGACUUUAAAAAGAUGUUUUGAAAGUCCACCGCAUAUUACUGUUUGUUCAAGGUAUACUAUUUAUAUUUCAGGAAUAAAUCAUAGGACUUUUUUUGGGAAUAAAUGAAUGUGUGAGGAAUAGUAGAAUCUGCAAACUUGGGUAGAAAAUGAUGACAACUGCUUUGCACUGAGGCAUUCUAGGCCUAAAUAGGUUCCUGUCUUAUAAAUUGUGAAAUCUCUUCAAAGUCAUCAUAGUUUAAUAUAUUAAUUUAAAAGGCUUGGAAAGUGGCACACAUGAGUAAUACAGAAAAAAGAAAAUCUGUUACUAUGGAUCUAUGCUCUUGAAUUUUGAUCCUUAGAAUAUUUGCAAUUCAGAGCUAUUGACAGUUAAAAUAACACCAAGUCUUGCAGUGAAGUGAUAAUUUUGUAAGUGCUUAAAUAUACUAUUUUCUCUCCUGGUGAAAGCAAAAAAAAAAAGGAUUUUUCUUCUAUAUGUUGGCUUCUUCUUUUUGUUAGAUGCCAUGAUCCCUCAAAAUACUUGUUUUUGCUUUAUUUGGAACACAUUCUUAGAUUCCUGUCUUUUAGGUAAUAGCAUCCAGUAUAUAUCUAAGUGUUGGACUUGCGUAGUCGUGUGACUACCAUGAUAAAUGCUUUGGAAGUUAUGAAUCUUAACUUGGUUUACCAUUCAAGUUUGUUAGCUGAAUUAAACCUUAGUUCCCUGGUUCAAAAUGAGUGAAACCAGCAUGCAUUGAUAGCAAGGGAUGGAUACAGGAAGAGUGCUUGUUCUAAUUUUCCCAUUGCUGGCUUUAUGAAUUGUGGAUUGUGAAGACAGGUGAUAGAAGUUUGAGAAAUAACCAGAGUGAUAGUUGUGUUCCUGUGGGCCACAUGUGCCUUACAGGAAUGUUUUAUUUGCCUCCAGGAUCCUCAGAGGCCUCUCUAUUGCCUUUCUUUUUCACAAACAAUGGACAGUCAUGCUUCCAGAGCCCAUCAAUAAAUGUGAUUCUCUAUUAAGUCCUUCUUGAAAUCCACCUGUCCUUGCUUAGAGACAAAACAUAAUUUUAAGAAGACUAAAGUAAUUUACCAAUAGGCAAUUAUAGUGCUUCUUUAACUGCCAUGGCAACAUCCCAUGUAAUUCUGACAUUUGUAGUUUAGGGCGAUUUUUAGGGAUCUUUGUGAAAAAAAGCUGAAUGUCCCUCCCUAGACAGCAGUCCAUAGGAAGCCGCCGGAACAGUUAAAGUGGAAUUAUAGUGCUAUAAUUAUGUGGUGUGAAAGAAUCUCAGGAAGUCAAAGAGCAGGGUAGAGCCUAUUGAUUUGUGGUAGCUGGAAAUAGGGCAGAUGUGGUCCCUGGGUCCUGUGCCAUUGCCCACAUCUGAACUCCAUGAUGAUGUUGUUAGUACCUUUGUUUUGAAUAAUACAUGUGUACUUACACAGCUUCCUUUUUAAACAGUGCCAAUUUUAGUAAUGCAUUUUAAUAUGUGAGGGACUUCAGACAAUUUGGCAAUAUUCAGAGUCUUCUUUCCUGGUGGCAAGAAUGCACUGCUGCUGAUGUUAGAAGCAAAUAAGGUUGUUAUGAUGACUUCCUGACCUGGGGUGCCUUAUCUGCCUGUUGCAGGGAUGGUCAUCCCCAGUGACAGCUGGAAAUUCCAAAAUGAGAAACAUGAUUAUCAGAGAGGUGGAACAUCGUUCUGAGCAUUUCAUGCUAAUUGUGAAAUGUUGAGGGAAAUGGUUUUCUGAUCUUGUCAGCCAAACAACUUUGUGGUGAUUUGGUAUAGCACAAAUGUAUGUUGGUUGGGACUGCAGUUUGUCAUCUAGAUGAACUGUAGGCUUUUGAAGUCCAUCAGUUAUCUACUAUGAUGGUUGGUUUUUCUUUGAGCAGAAUAAGAUAAGAUUUCUAAAUAUGACAUUAACAUGAGGACCAAAUGAGUCUCCUUCCCUGGUCAUAUUCAAAAAGAGCCUGGACAGUUGUCUGCUGGGGAUGCUUUAGUAUUGUGUAUGGGUUUGAAUCAAUAGCUCAUGGUACCCUGCCUAACUUUAUGAUUCUAUGAUAUGGAAUGGAGAUGUAUAUAAGCUUCUUAACACUUAGCUAAAUAAAUAAAAUAAAGAGUCCUGUAAGUUGUAAAGUUGAUAAAAAAAUGAAAGAAUAUCUCAGUGGUGGGACUUCAUUAAGACAGUAUGGAACAUGUAACCAUCUUAGUUAUGUAGCUCCGUAGUGUCAUCCUCACUUAGACUGGAUCUACUACCAAGUACAGUAGAGUCUCGCUUAUCCAACGUAAAUGGGCUGGCAGAAUGUUGGAUAAGCGAAUAUGUUGGAUAAUAAGGAGAGAUUAAGGAAAAGCCUAUUAAACAUUAAAUUAGGUUAUGAUUUUACAAAUUAAGCACCAAAACAUUAUGUUAUACAACAAAUUUGACAGAAAAAGUAGUUCAAUACACAGUAAUGCUAUGUUGUAAUUACUGUAUUUACGAAUUUAGCACCAAAAUAUCAUGUUGUAUUGAAAACAUGGACUACAAAAAUGUGUUGGAUAAUCCAGAACGUUGGAUAAGCGAGUGUUGGAUAAGUGAGACUCUACUGUAAUGCAGUCUGAACCAAUAAUUAUGACAGAUUUAUUUUGCAUUAGAUUUAUAGCAAGCUGUUAAAAGAAUGGUUUUAUUAUAAAAACGUAAUAUAAACAGCAAUUUACAUUGAGGAGUGUGAUUUUUUUCCAGUCAGCAUUUUUCUUGCUCAUAAUUUUAAAUUGUCUGGCAAGGAAGAAGUUAAGCACGUUGAGGGACCACUAUUUUGAGUUCGGAAAUAUAUCUUGGCAGAUUUAGUUUGGGUUCAGGAUUUUAUCCUGAUUUCAGGAUUUAUUUAACAUUAAACAGGCACACAUGGGAUAAAGUUACACAUAUCAGCAUAAAUUUUAUUACUUGGCUCUGAUCCUGUGUGGAAUUUCAGUUAAACCUUAGAACUGCUUCACACCUUAUUGAGCCCUAUAUGAACAUUGAACCAUGACUGCUACAGAAAAUGCACCAAGUAUGAAACAGGAUCCUUUGCUCCUAAAUAUGUGGAGGCUCACAGUAGAUGCACAUAAGGACACAUGACUGAUUUGCUUCCCUUACGUAGCUGCUUCUCAUUUACACUUCAUGUGUUUUAUUGAAGCAGACACUGAAGUAACAGAUGUGCUGUGUGUAAAGACUGAAUUGGAUCUGGGUGUCCAGGUAGUUCUUCAUCAGGACAGAGAACAUUAGGUCACUUUGUAAGAACAAUUUCUUAGUGUGAUUUCUAUAUUAAUACGUUGAACCACACAGAGGUGCUAAAAGUUUCACCUUUGCCAGUUAUACAUCGAGAGAUCUCAAAUUCAGAAAUAUUUCAACAAUGUACUCUUUGUAAGUCAAGUUUAACUCAGUACCCUUGCUUCAUAGCACUGCAUAACAUGAUUUUGUCUCUUCAUCUUUAUUUAUUUAUUUACAUAUUUACAGCUUUCAGAAAAUCCUGGCCUUUUGAUUCUUUUCCUUUUGCCCAAACCAACACAUUUAAUAUGGGUUUUGGGGAGUGAGUCAAAUUAUUUUUUUAAAAGACACAAUGAAAUAUUUAUAAUUAUAAAAGUAGUACAUGGUAGUUCUUUGCACAGUUAUUAAGUAGAAACGGGUAGAAAUAGCCUCUUAGAUAGAGUAGAUAAUAUAUGGAUCACAUGGUUAUGUUGUGCAAAGCCUUUUCAAAUUAAUUUCCAGGCAGUUGCGAGGAGAGAGGAGAAGAAUGUUACUUCAGCUUGUUUCUUUAAGCUGACCAAGAAGAUCAUUGAUAUUCAAAAGCUCAAAAUAUGUAACAGCUAGAUGCACUGAAGGGUUUGCCAGAUGUGCAACUUGGACAUUUACCAUUACGUUUGCAUAGUCUGGUUGUUUUGUAGUAUUAGAUCAGGGAUCCUCAAACAUUUUAAGCAGGGGGCCGGUCCACAAUCCUUCAGACUGUGGAGGGGCCGAAUUAUCAUUUGAAAAAGAAAUACGAACAAAUCCCUUUGCACACUGCACAUGUCUUAUUUGUAGUGCAAAACAACAACAACAACAAUGAAAGAACAAUAAAAUAUUUAAAAAUGAAAACAAUUUUAACCAACAUAAACCUAUCAGGAUUUCAAUAGGAUGUGUGGGCCUGCUUCUGGCCAAUGAGAUAGUCAAGUUAAUUAGGAUUGUUGUUGUUGUUGUGUGCCUUCAAGUCAUUUCAGACCUUGGGCAAUCCUAAGUCUAAAAUUAUUUAUUUAUUCAUUUACUACAUUUAUUUACAACAUUUAUAUCCUGCCCUUCUCACCCCGAAGGGGACUCAGAGCAGCUGUAUGUACAUACAAUAUAUUAUAUUAUUAACAAAGCACAAUAUUAGCAUUAUAUAUUACUAUAUUGAACUAUACCACUGUACUGUAAUAUUAUAUGUAAUAUAUAACAUGUAAUUAAUAUUAUUAUAUGGUAUUAUUAUUAGUAUUACAUUGUAUAACAUGAUAAUAUAUCAAUAUCAUAUGUAUAUAUAAUAUAUUAUAUUAUUAAAACUGAUAUAAAAAUAUUAUAUUAUAAAUGAGGGCCAGGUAAAUGACCUUGGAGGGCCACAUCUGGCCCCCGGGCCUUAGUUUGGGGACCCCUGUAUUAGAUAAUGGCACUACCAGACAAGCAGAAUGUAGAAAAUUGCAUGGUUAAUUUGUAUUAAUAAACUAGGAGAUUUGAUGCUACUUAUCUCAGAUAGUUUAGCGUGACUUAAAACAGUCAGUUUGCUGAACUGGAAAUACUAAUUGGUUGCAGCAAUGUAGGAGAACAAUACAUUACAACCAGUGUUUUAAACACAGUUUUAAUAACACACCUAGCCUUUAAAACCAUAGGAUGAGAGUGUGGUGUUGUAGCCCAUAUUUGUUGUUUUUAGAGGCAGACAUUGAUAAAGAGGAAACGAUAAAAGAAAGCCAAAAGCUGCUUUCAUGAGGGUUGGGAUGCAGCUCAUCUGAAAGUGGAAAGAACAUGACUAUCUCCAGAAUCCUCUCAAGAUCAGCAAGGGAAAACAAAGGGCCACUGUUCACUAACCCCCAGCUUCUCUCCCUGCUCAGUCUCUUUCUCCAUCUGCUUGCUUCCCCCCCCCCCCUUUUCCACUUUCCAGGCUUGCUUGCUCGCUCUACCCAUCCACUCAUUCACCUGUCAAUUUCUCUGCCUACUGGUUUGAUUCCCUUUCCUGCCUCUUUCUCCACCUCCCUUCCUGCUUGUGAACAUGGGGGACCUUGAUGGCAGGCCUCACUUUCACCCCCAAGGACCAACCUUCUUUGCUGUCCCUUAAUGUCUACCCCUUGUUCAAGGUCUCCUUAGUGUGUGUAUGUGUGUGUGUGUGUGCGUGCGCACGCGUGCGGGGCGGGAGGGCAGAAAAAAAGCCCAGCAAAGACCAACCCAUGCAGAUGCAGGUCUGUUGCUCAGUGCUCACUAGCCCCUUCUACACAGCUGUAGAAAAUCCACAUUGUCUUCUUUGAACUGGAUUAUAUGGCAGUGUAGACUAAAAUAAUCCAGUUCAAAGAAAACAUGUGGAUUUUCUGUUUUGAUAACCUUGAUUAUCUGGCAGUGUAGAAAAGGCUACUGUCCAUUUGAGUUUGUUGGGAUGUCCAGGAGAACAAUGAGGUCACCGAAGAGAAGUGAUUGAAAGGUGGGCAAGGAGAGGAAACGAGAAGAAAGGUCCCUCCGGGCCAAAAGAGAGACCCACUGUAAGCCCCCCAUUCAUUCUUCUUUCCUUUUUUCUGAAUUAAACUUGAGUGGGCAUGAAGACAGUUGAUGCUUUGGCUUUGCUGGGCUGUUUUUCUGCUCUCUCCUCCCAUCCAGAAGAGAAAUGAGUUCAUUGACUAGAACUCAGCUGAGAGGUGAACACGGAGGUAAAGCAAGAAGGAAGGCCCUCAGGGAUGAUAGGGUGGUCUUCUGAAGUAGGUUAGGCUGAAGUCUUUUCUACACUGCAAUAUAAUCCAGUAUCUGAUCCCAGAUUAUCUGCUUUGAAUUGGUCUAUAUGGCAGCAUAGACUCAUAUAAUUCAGUUCAGACUUCGUACACUACCAACUAUUCUUUUAUGUGGCAGCAUUGUUACAGUGUGGACAAUCUAAUUUGAAAUAUGCAUGGGUCAUUUUUAAAUUAAUGGAUUAAGAAUAGUUAAGACGAGCCAACUAGUAUGAUAUAAUAGUUAGUCUGUUAGACAGGGACCAGGAAAAUUAGCACGUUUACAGAAAUCAUGCCAAGUGGAUAUGAUAAGUUUUCCUCUGUUACUGCCUCUCUUCAAUAAGACCUUAUGCUUACAAUGUGCUUCCUUUUUCUAUGAUUGUUGAACUUCAUGUUUAUGUAUACAUUUAACAUAUCAGUGAUUGAGAGCGUAUACUAUUCUGCUCCAGAAUACCUUUACAAGUUUUAGUUGAAUGUUUUCUUGAGUUUUCUCAUCCACUUUGGGGCAAAAGAAUAGGGCCUAGGAGUUUUGGGUUCAGUGGACCAUAUGCCGCCUAUAACUAUCUAUACUUUCCCUGUUAGGUGCAUUAGGCUAAGAAGUGAAGUAAACCCAAUAUCUCUUAAUAGCAAAAGUGUGUCUUAUUAUGUUUUGGGAAAGACAUAUUGAUGAUGCAAUCAGAUUAAAAUAGGAAUGUGUGCAUCAUUGUAUUUUUGCUGGCUCUGACGGUAUUAUGGCUACAAUACUACUUUUAAAAAGUAGUAAAUAUUUCUACAGAGGUGGAUUUUUAUGGUGAAUCAAAACCUUUAUGUGGCAGUAGUUAUGUUUCUCUGUGGUUGUAACCUCUGUGAUUGAUAUUUAAAGCCUUAUUCAUUCUCAUUGGAAAUUUUUCCCUACCUUGGCAAGGCAUACACUUUCAGCAUGAAUGACAUGGUUAUCACAGUCACUUUUCCAGGAAGAGAAAUACUCAAAAUAAACUUGUUAGGUUGUAAUGGUAGAUACAUUUAUAUUAUUAUGCCAUAAUUUAGUUUUCUAGUUUUCAUUUCUUUAAAAUAAUCUUGCUCUGAAGAAGGAAUAUUAGAAGAAAGUAAUAAAUAUCAAAAACAGAAAAGGAUUUUGAUAGUGUUUUCCCAUCCAGACAUGAAUACUUUCCACCCAGACUGAGAAUAUAAAUGCCUCUGUGUUGUUUGUUUUAAAGGUAGCAUAUAAGAACAGAAAUGGCAUGCUUGAUAAUAACCUUUCCUAAAAUUGUUUAUAAUGGCUUAUAGUUUCUUUUAGUCUAUCAAAAGUUUACAUACUAGUCUCAUGAUGGCAGUUUUUAUAUUUGCUUCCUAGAAUAGAGUGUAUUGUGUAUACUCUGUUUUGAAUACAGGCAUGCAUAUAAUCUUUAAAAGGGUCUAUUCCCUAUUCUCUGUGGAUCUGUGAUGAAGUAUUUCUCUCCCUUUGAUGGUAACAGUAGUUAUGAAAUCUCAUCAACAAAUCUUCUGCCUGCAUGGGUAUACCUGCUGUCAAUAAAUGAAGUUAGGUAGUCUUGGCAUUCUCCCUGAAGCAAAACAGAUUUACGGGCUUGGAGGAGAUCCAGAUUCAUUGUUCAUACCGACCCCAAAGAUUUCUACCAAUCAGUCUGCUCUAGAGCUUUAUCUUGGCUAAGGUUACAACACAACAGAGGUCUUGAAGCAGUGUGAUAUUUCCUUGAUACCUUUAGUUGGUAAUCCUGAUUUUUUUUGAGGGACCAAAUGUUUUCUACCAACAAAUUGGACAGUGUAGAAAUUUACUCCUGAGGUCUCUUUCUAAAUGUGAUAGGCCAAAAUGUACAUUAUUUAGUUCAGGAGUGGCAAACUUGAGCACUGCUGGUUUUGACAAUCUGAAAAAGAAAGAUAAGAGCCUAGCACAAGGAGAACUCAACAUAGGACAGCUACAUAAAGAGUGGUGGCAAAAUCAGUAGUGGAUUUGCUGCUUCCUUGGCAGUGGAGCUAGAAGCCAUUCUUGCUUGAAUUCUUGCAAUUUAUAUGGAAAAACAGAAGGCUGGAAUAUAACUGAAAUAACUUUGAAAAUGUGGAGAGUGUGUAAGAUGUUCUAAAGAAGCUGGUAAAUGUCUUCUCACAUUUUCAUAAGAAUGCUUAACAAUAGCACAGAAAAUCUGAUGAACAUUUAAAUUGGAGUGUAUACACUGCAAUCUAUGUGUGUGGGAGUUGAUCAUAUUUCAGGAAAUUAUGCAGAAAGACAUGAAUUUACAGAACAAUCAAGAUGAAUCAAAAUUAUUUAACACCUUCCUUCCCCUGCCAUUCAGUCUUUCUAUAUGAGGAUAACAAAAAUUGACAUUAAACCAGCAGGACAUGCGGAAUUGUUUAAUUGCUCUGUCUGACAUCGGAUCUUUUUACACUGACCACUAAUGCAAGGCCACUUAGCAUAUUUUUUUAUUUAUUGUAUCAGAAGUGAACCGAGGGUACAGUUGUAAUGCAUUUAAAACACAAACAAAGUUAAAAACCUGUCAUUAUACGAAAUGUCCUUUGACCAGUAGCUGGCCACUUGGGAGUGCCUCUGGUGUUGCUAUUAGAAGGUCCUCCAUUGUGUAUGUGGCAGGGCUCAGGCUGCAUUGUAAUAGCUGGUCUGUGGUUUUCUCUUCUUCACACGCACAUGUCAUGGACUUUACUUUGUGGCCCCAUUUCUUAAGGUUGGCUCUGCAUCUCGUGGUGCCAGAGCGCAGCCUGUUCAGUGCCUUCCAAGUCACCCGGUCUUCUGUGUGCCCAGGAGGGAGUCUCUCAUUUGGUAUCAGCCAUGGAUUGCGGUUCUGGAUUUUAGCCUGCCACUUUUGUACUCCUGCUUGCUGAGGUGUUCCUGCAAGUAUCUCUGUAGAUUUUAGAAAACCAUUUCUUGAUUUAAGGUGUUAGCGUGCUGGCUGAUAUCCAAACAGGGGAUGUGCUCAGAUAGCAGCUGGAUAUGGACUCCCUCAACCAGCCGCCUCCCGCCCCCCAUAUUAUGGCUGUUCCAGCCAUGACACAUCACUUACCUGAUCCUCCAUGCUGUUUGACAUCAGGAAAGCCUCCUUUUUGCCUUUACCUCCUUUUUCAGCACCAGAACACCCAAGAGAAGUUGUUGCUGGGGGAGACAGGGGAUUGUCAUCUUGUGUACCUGGACCACCUGAACUGGAAGGACUUAGGAUGUCAGUCAAGACAGCUGUGGCUGGAACCAGCACAGCUGUCUUGACAUCCCUAAAGUCUGAAGAAAGCCCAAAUUCUGGAUCCGGAUUCAGACUUUCCCCCAACUUAGCCUAACACAGGGCAAGGCCAUGUUAAGGUGGCCUUGCCCAGGUAUGGCCAAAUCAGCCCUAUGUGUUUAGCCUCUCCAGGGCUAAUCUGAGUACACACUGACCGAAAGUAGUCAGUGUAGAUGAGCACUUAGAUGCUAAAAACAGAUAGUCUUAUAAAUGUAUUUAAGCAAUACCCAUACAUUUUCUCAGUGUAUGCAACAUAUCAAACAAAAUUUAUUGCAGUUAGUAUCCAGCUUGAGGGAAGAGAACCAUCAUGGGUAAGAGAGUGUACAUACAUUAUUGCCAGGUAAUCAAUAGAUUUGAGAUCAUUUAUUUAAAUCUAUUAAUCUUCAUUUUAAAAAGUAUUUUAUUAAGUUUACAAAUGUAUAAUAGAAGAGCAAAACAACAAAAAAACAGCAUUCUUUAUAACUAAUACUGUAAUAAUCCUAAAGUGCAAGCAAAGGAAAAAAGAAUAAAAAGCACUUUUGAUCUGUAUAUGAGCAGGUAUAUGUAACACCCCUAUCUCACCCUCUCUAGUUUCUCUGUUACAUAUGUCUUUCUUUUCCCCUCCCAAAAAGAAAAUAUUAAUAAUGAAGUCAGAAAAACAAAUAAUCCCUAUCUUUUCUCAAAAAGUCCAUAAAAGGUUUCCACACUUCAAGAAAUCUUCCUAAGGACCUAUCUUGAAUUAAAACUCAAUUCUUCCAUUUCAGCUAAGCCUAUCAACCUGGUUAUCCACUCAUCAGUGGUUGGUAUUGCUGAAUCUUUCUAUUUCUGCACAUAUGUCAGUCUUGCUACAGUAUUCAUAUAUUACAAUAAUCUUCCAUGUUUUUUCUUCUGGCUUUAGAUCCUCGGGUCCCAGGCAUAAUUUGGCCAUCUGCAACAAUAUAUGUAAUUGUGUCCAAAAUUUUACAGCUUUCUCACAGGUCCACCAAUCAUGAUAAAAAGUCACUUCUUGUUUCCCACACUUCCAACAAGUAUUAGCAACAUCUUUAUGUUGUUGUACUAGGCAGUACAAACAGCAGUCUCACAUUUUUCUGGGCUUAAUGAGCCCAUAAAACAAGCUGCCAUAUAAUCCAGUUCAAUGUGAAUUUUAUACAGCUGUGUGGAAGGGGCUCCAGUCGGGAUUUCUGUGAGUUAUAGUUACGAGUAAGAGCAUCCACUAUGGUUUGAAGUUCUAGAAGUAUGUUGUUGUUUUUUGUCUUCAAGUCAUUUCUGAUUUAUGACAACCCUAUCAUGGCAGUGUUGCGGGUGGAUGGGGUUAACAUUGCUUUCCUCUGAAGUUGGGAUUUUGUAUAGCUGAAUUUGAACUCUAGUCUACUGGAGUCUAACAACAUACUGGCUCUAGAGGUUUACCGGCAGUGUUCGAGUUACAAACAUCUGACUUACAAAUGACUCAUAGUUCAGAACAGGGAUGAGACAACAGGAAGCGAAAGAAAUCUACUCCUCAGAAGGGAAAUGCACUCCUGAAAGAGUUAUCAUGGGGAAAAGCUUUCUCACCAAGCGCCAAAUUUUUUCAAAAUCCAAUUAUCACAGGGACAGAAAGUGGGGUGAAAUCUUCAGAACAGGAGCACAUAUAGCAAAACAAAACUACAGAACCUAUCUUGUUCACAACUGUAAUGGAAGAAAGGAUGACUCAAACAAUUACCGUCCAGUCAGCCUCAUGUCGAUAAGGAUCGUUAAGGAAGUGGUCUGCUAACACUUAGAAAGGAAUGUGCUCAUCGCUAAUAGUCAACAUUGAUUUAUCAAGAACAAGUCAUGCCAGACUAAUCUGAUCUCUUUUUUGAUAGAGUUACAAGUUGGGUAGAUGCAGGAAAUGCCGUGGAUGUAUCUGGAUUUCAGUAAGGCCUUUGCCAAGGUCCCUUCUGGCAAACGAACUAGUCAAAUGUGGACUAGACAAAACUACAGUUAGGUGGAUCUGUAAUUGGCUAAGUGAACGAACCCAAAGGGUGCUCACCACUGCGUCUUCUUCAUCCUGGAAAGAAGUGACAAGUGGAGUGCCACAGGGUUACAUCCUGGGCCCGGUUCUGUUCAACAUUAAUGACUUUGAUGAAGAGUUAAAAGGCAUGAUCAUUAAGUUUGCAGACAACACCAAAUUGGGAGGGAUAGCUAAUACUCCAGAAGACAGGAGCAGAAUUCAAAGCGAUCUUAACAGAUUAGAGAGAUGGGCCAAAACUAACAAAAUUAAGUUCAACAGGGACCAAUGCAAGAUACUCUACUUAGGCAGAAAAAAAUGAAAUGCAAAGAUACAGGAUGGGGGACACCUGGCUCAACAGCAAUACAUGUGAAAAAGAUCUUGGAGACCUAGUGGACAACAAGUUAAAUAUGAGCCAACAAUGUAAUGCGGCAGCUAAAAAAGCCAAUGGGAUUUUGGCCUACAUAAAUAGGAGUAUAGUGUCUAGAUCCAGGAAAGUCAUGCUACCCCUCUAUCCCGCCUUGGUCAGACCACACCUGGAAUACUGUGUUCAAUUCUGGGCACCGCAAUUGAAGGGAGAUUUUGACAAGCUGGAAGGUGUCCAGAGAAGGGUGACUAAAAUGAUCAAGGGUCUGGAGAACAAGCCCUAUGAGGAGCAGUUUAAAGAGCUGGGCAUGUUUUGCCUGCAGAAGAGAAGGCUGAGAGGAGACAUGAUAGCUAUGUUUAAAUAUGUGAGAGGAAGUCAUAGGGAGGAGGAAGCAAGCUUGUUUUCUGCUGCCCUGGAGACUAGGACACGGAAUAAUGACUUCAAACUACAGGAAAGGAGCUUCCACCUGAACAUUAGGAAGAACUUCCUCACUGUGAGAGCUGUUCGGCAGUGGAACUCUCUGCCCCGGAGUGUGGUGGGGGCCCCUUCUUUGGAGGCUUUUAAGCAGAGGCUGGGUGGCCAUCUGUCAGAGGUGCUUUGAAUGCGAUUCCCUGCAUCUUGGCAAGGAGUUGGACUGGAUUGCCCAUGAGGUCUCUUCCAACUCUAUGAUUCUAUGAUUCUAUAAAAAGUUUUACUUCAGAAUUAUUUGUGUGCUUUUGUUUUCUAACUGUUUAACUUAAAAAAACAUAAUUGCAUGUUUCCUUGAUCUAGCAGAACUCUAAAAGGGAGCAGUCACUUAAAUUGUAUUGUAUGAAUGUAGUUUGGUGGAAUUUUAAAGGACGAGAGAUGUUGAUGUUUGGGACAGAUAGUUUCUGACAGAUGGCAAUAUUCUACAGUAAUCAUGGCUCAUUCUAGCAAAUGUGCCAUGACUGCAAAGAGAUUGGUAAACUGCUUGAAAGUAUGCAGAUACAGAUCUGACCAUCUCUAAGGUCAAAAUAGCUAUGAAUGACUCAAAUAAAAUAAAAUAGUUAUGUGUUACAAUAAACUGUAGAAAUCUGUGAAAGCAGGAUAAAUUACUCUGUUAAGCUUAAAUUUGAUUAAGAUUGGAUAUUAAGAGGGCAAAUGAGGAACAACAAUACAAAUCGUACUUACACUUAUGUGGACAGGAUAUUAAAGAGAUUUGGGGAAACUCCAUUUAAACAGCUCAGCUGAUCUUGAUAGUAGCCAACCUCCAAGGAAUUAAAGGAAUUAUCUUGUGUACUUAUGAAAAGUCAUGGAACAGCAGAUGGCAUUUGAAGAUUGGGAAGAAAAGCCCCAAAUGUAUUGCUGUUCAAAAAAGAAGGCAGAGUGAACCAGAUGAUAUUUCAUUAUUAAGUCCCUAUCUUGAUUUCUUUUGUAAUCAAAAGCAAAUGCCAAGAGACAAGUCAUGUAUAAUCAUAAUGUUUUUAAGUCAUGAAUAAAAGCAAGGAACUUGACUUGACAGUUAAAUAAAUAUUGAAAAGGAAUAUUCACAGUCAAGCUCAACCUAAACACUACCAUGGUUCGUACUGAUACUACCAGAAUACAUACAUCUGUUUUAUUGUUUUAUGCUAGCCAGCCACUACCCUAACCAAAAUAGCUUGCUCAAAGAAGAACCCUGUAACAAUAUGAGUGUUUGGGGGAAGAAUGGGAAGGGCAGCUUCUAGUUGAAGAUAGACUGUAAAUGAAAGCAAUGUAAUUGAGCAACAGGGAAUGCUUUAAAAAGAAGAGUACCUUGAACUUGGAUGUAUUUGUAUGAAUUUUAUAUGUUGUGUGCCACUUUGAAUCUCACCCACAGGAGAAAAGCGGGUUAGAAAUGAAUUAAUAAUAAUAAUAACAACAACAACAACAACUACUUGUGUAUGAAGCAGAAUAGGAAGCCAUUAUGGACUCAGAAACGGAAGGAACAAUCGGGUAGCAGGAACAACAGUUGUAUUUCUCUGUGGAUCAGCAAGAUGGGUGUCGUCUUAGCCUAGAUUCGAGUUUUCCAAAGUUUUAAAAUGAGCUUUACCAUAUGUUUAUGAAAGAAAGAUUAUUUCUCUCAGAUGGUGAAAAUGCCAACAAUAUAGAGCUUGGCUGGGAUGGCUUUUAAGCAGAGUCUGAAUGGCCAUUUGUUGGGGAUGCUUUGAAUGGCAGGGGGUUGGACUGGAUGCCCCAUGAGGUCUCUUCCAGCUCUAUGAUUCUAUGAUAUGCAAAUAGUUUGUAUGUGUUCAGAGUUAAGAGACUUUAUUCUCUCCUAUGGAAAUGUGAAAAGGGGAGGGACUGAGUUUAGUAAUAACAUUCCAUAUUUAGUUAUUUAAUAACAGCUCCUGCAUGCAUUACCAAUAUCAAUUAGUAUGGUUUCAACACUGUCAAUGCCUAUUUGAUACAAUGACUCUACAACCACUACUACAGUAUCAAUGGCAUUUGGCUACAUAGGAAUGUAAGUGUGAAAGUGCUUAUGCUCUUAUGUUCUGUUUGCAGUCUUCCCAGAAGCAUCUAGUUGGUUGCUAUGGGACUAAAAUAACAGACUGGACAAGCUUUUGACCUUGUUCAGCUAUUACAUUCUUAUUUCAGUAGCAAAAUAUUGGAUUAGAGAAGAGAAAUGCUGGGUACAGAUGCGGAAAUGUGAAUCUUUUGAAUAAAGCAGUUGAUAGUCUUAUAAAUAAGAGAACAAAUGUUGUCACCCAGGAAAGAUAACAGAAGUGAAGAGUUGGUGUACCCUGAGUCCUGAAGGGCCAGACAGGAAGACAUUAUGUUAAGCCAGUGAUUGAAGAAACGGAAGAAAAGAGAAAAAGAAGAAAAAGAGAAGACUGGGAGCUGUCAGUCAAAAAUUAAUUUUCAAAAGAAAAAUUAUCCCUUUCUCACACACACAUAUUAGACCGUGGUGAGAAUUAAACUGUAUCAAAACGAGUUUCUACCAGAAAUAUGCUUAUUCAUGUGAUCAGUCUGCAUGCCUCUUUUGAUUACGUGCGCAAAGGGCAAGGGAAAUAAUAGCAGUCUUCCUUUUUUUUAAAAAAAAAAGAGAGAGAGGAUUGUACUAAGAUUUCAUUAUUAUAGUUUAUAAAUCAAACAAUGAUUACCUGAACUUAGAAAUAAACUUUCUCUGUGGAAUUGUCAAAAUAUUUUUGCAUCUUUUUGAGAUUUAAUACAAAUUCAAAAUAUACUUUUGAAGGCAACAUCUAUGUUUCUCACAUCAUACUGCACACAGUCAACUAGCAUUUAAACAAGUGCUUUGAAAUUUGUUUCAGUUUGUUUCAUCUUUAAUUUAAACAGAUAAACAAGUACCCACAAACUCUAAGGGCAUUAAAACAACUUCACUGUAAUUUUGUGUUAUACUAUACUGUAUAUAUACUUUACAUUCUUAUCUUCUAAGAUGGUAACAUUCAGUUCAGUUAUCUUUUUAAGCCUGCAGUCUUUUAUCUAUCCCAAUUGGAAUAGAUCGUCUGAAUAACUGGCAUUAAAACUUUUAUGGGGGUUUCUUCAUUUGAACCAAGAGUAAACAGUUAUGUACAUUCUAUUUAAAUUAUUACAAAAUUAUUUUAGUAGUGAACAAGUGUAGAGUGCUACAGACUGAUCCUUUUGUUUCUUAUGAGUCUCAUAGCUGACAAUGUCAUCAUUUGUCAGAUAAAAUACUGCAGAAAUUGUUCUGUUUUUAUAAUGGCGGUUAAUGUCAGCUUUUGACUUUCCUGUUAGAUGUAUUACAUUUCUGAAGCGGAGAGAACUUAAUCUGUCUCAUAUUUUACUGAUUACAGGAACAAUGUAACUGUGAUGCUUUCAAUUUAUUUUAGAAAACUUGUAGUCAGUCAUCUUCCAUGAAAGAAAGAAAAAGCCCCAUAUAUGGUGUAAUUCUUCACGCAGCCAUUUGUGUCUUGUGCAACAUAUAUUUGCCUGUGUAAAUUAGCUGCUUUUUAGUGUUGACAGCCAAGGGAAUUUAGGCCAGUUGUCAACAUCUUUAUAUAAUUCUUAUUACAUAAGUAAUAAUACGAUCAACAUUAAAUAUUAAUAUAAUACAAAAUGGAUUUAAGUACUCAUAAAUUGAAGCCUCUGUAUGAAUGCAUAGUGCAAAUGACUAAAUAUUUUAUAAAAUACUUCAUUAAAUAUGUUAUAAUUACAGUGAAAAAAAUGAAUUAUUUCAACCGUUUAUAACCAGAAAUAGGACUAUAUUUUUUUCUUGGGAAAAUAAUGUUAUCAACUACACUUCUACAAAUGGGAUUAUAUCACAACAGAAGCGGCAAGGGGAUGUGUGAGGAGUGGUGAUAAAACUCAGACCCAUUACUACCAUAAAGCUUUCUCAGAGAGUGAACAUUCAAGCCCAGUUCCACCAUGCAGCACUCUCUAGGGUCUUGUACAGCUCGCUGUGAGCACCUGCCGUGAGCUCUUAUUUUAAAGAAACCUUUUUAGUGGCUCUUAAUGAGAGUCAUUCUUUUUCCAACACACUGCUUAAAAUUGAGAAGUUGAAUCACUUUUAACACUGGGAAGAAAGCUUUUAAAUAGAAAAUAAGAAGAAAAGAGGCAGGGAAUUCAAGAGACCAGAUUAGAUUUGGGGGAUUCUGCUUGGAAAUGACCCUUUCAUGAAAACUUGGGGAACCCUCACAUCACUCACUUCCCUUAUCCUCCAUACAAAUUAAGUGAAGAUGUUGGUCAUGUAUGCAUAUUUUAUAUCUAUGUAUCCAAAGUGGCAGGAAAUCUGCUCUGAAGUUUUGGUUGAACUUCAGUAGAACUGCCUAUGGUGCUGAAUUCAGUUCCCAAUACAGGUUCAGCACCUUGGAUAGCUUCUUUAACAUUAAUACUAACUGAAGUAAAUGCUACCAAUCACUUAUUUCUGUGUGUCUAUGUAAAAUUUGCACAUAUUUCUGUAUAUAAGUGCGCACACACACAGCCACCUGCUAGUAGUUAACACAUUAACUUUCACUGCUAUAAAUACGUAAUAUCCUAUUUUGUUAACCUGUGAAUAGAGCUGUUCCUAUUAUUCUCAGAAAGUAAAUGGGAACAUUGUAUGAUUAUAUGAGAAACUGUGGAAUAUUCUGAAUGAAGGGUGUUGUGUGGUUUCUGAAUUGUAUGGCUGUGUUCCAGCAGCAUUUUCUCCUGACUUAAACCUGCAUCUAUGGCUGGCAACUUCAGAGGAUGGGUGCUAGCCAUAUCUACAUUUCUUUACAUUAAUUAAGGUUCUCCAUUGAUAUUACUGAGAACUUCCUUCCUUUGAAUAAUACCUUCUUUGGGAUGGAAGUGCUUUUCAUUGGGACCAUGGUUAGGAUUGGGGAAUGAAGUUAAAAUGUUAAUGUACACUAGUCACUGAUUCUACUUGUACCAUCACCUCCCAUGACAUCUGUUUAAGUAAUGCAUGUGUGUAGGUGGGCCAUGCUAGCUACUUCUUUUGUAAUUAAAAAUGCAUCUGAUUCUCAAGCUGUACUUUUCAGUUCCUGGAUCUUUUGGACCCAUUUCUAGUAUUUCAAAAAUAUUUCUAGAAUGUUUUCCUUACUUUUAAUAUGCACUUUUGGUCUCUCUCUCUCUUGUGUUCCACAAUUGUAGUGGAACAAUCACUCUGUGCCAGGGGCAGUACGUGUUUAAAUUUGAUUGAGUCAUCAUUUGGUAAAUUAUGAAUGGUAAAAGCAGGAAGCUUCUCUUAUAUGCCCUUGAGCAUACUGCUUAGUAAUAUAGUAUGUUGAUCCUUUUCUGACGCAGUCACAAAUUACCCGAAGUCUUUAAACUUACCAGUAGAAAGCUAAUUAGUUAGGUUAUAUGUGCAUAAUUCAUUUGGGGGAAAUUGAAAGGGACUUCAGUUGUCUUCAAAAAGGCACAGCAUGUUAACAAUUACUUUAACUAUGUGGUGUCUAUAAAUACAAAGUGAUCUGGAAGUCUGCUUACAGAUCGUGUGAGAGAAGGAGGAAGUAGCACUCAUUUCUUUUCCUUCCUACUAAUUUGUGAGGAAACCUGUAUCAAAGAAUGCAAUAUCAAAAAAGUAUAUUAUAGUAUAUCAUAUGAAUAAUAACAAUUUGGCAGUCAGCCCCCCACCCAGUCUUUGCAAAAUCACUUUUUAAUACCAAUCAUUUUUGUGUCUUGGAUUUUCAAUAUUAAUAUUGGCGCAGUGGGUUGAACCCUUCUGCCGGCAGGACUGAUGACUUGAAGGUUGGGUUGCUGCCCUGAAGGUUGCCGGUUCGAUUCCAACUUGGGGAGGGUGUGGAUGAGCUCUUCCUGUCAGGUCCAGCUCCAUGCACGGACAUGAGAGAAGCCUCCCACAAGGAUGGGAAAAUCAUCAAAAACAUCCAGGCAUCCCCUGGGCAAUGUCCUUGCAGAUGGCCAAUUAUCUCACACCAGAAGUGACUUGCAGUUUCUCAAGCUGCUCCUGACACAAAAAAGUUAAUAUUUAUCAUCAUCAUCAUCAUCAUCAUCAUCAUCCUGAAAGGAACAAUGACUACCAGAGAACUGGCAUUCUUUAAGAUUAAAUACAGAUUGUUUUCACACUUAUAAAACUAUUUAAUUUUAUAACAGCUCUAGAAAAUAUACUGCUUUUAUUUGUAUAUAUUACUGAUUUCAGAAUGUUUUAAAUUCUAAUGCAGUCUUCAAGAGAAUGGAACACAUGCCAACCAAGUAAGUGUGGUGUUGAUGUCAUAGAAAUUGAUAGGGAAAUUAGUUGCAACCAACUCUAGGCCUCAUAAUAGGUUUUCCUUGGAGAUACCAUGAGUCAAAACAUUUUUCUGAAGACACACAGAAACAACAGCCUUUAUGCUGCACUUCAAGAAUAUAGUUAAAAGAUAAAAAUACAAUGAAUACAGUAUGGCCCUCUUAUUCACAGACUUAAUAUCCUUGGUCUCACUUACGUAAAAACUACUGUGCCUUUUAAUUGUGUUUAUAAUGCAACACUGCAGUAAUACAGAGGCAUUUUUAUCUUGUCUUUUUUCAGUGUAGAAAAAGCAGUGUCUGUAGAGAAUUUAUAGUUAAUAUUUUCAUUGUUCAUACUUGAGGCAUGCCUUUGAUGUGUGGUGCUCUGUUCUGUUUUUUAUCAAAAUAAGAAAGUGAAAGUACUCACUGUAGUGCUGAAGGCAUUUCAUAUAUAACAAUACACUGAGAAAUAUCUCUGUCUUAUGCUUUACUUAAUAGCUUUUCACGAUUCAUUGCUAUUAUUGUUGUUGUUGCAUAUUUGACAUGUUCUAUCCUGUUAUUAGUAAUUUAGAGCCAGCUAUAAAUGAUUGAUUCUUAAUCUGCAGGUAGAAUGAAGUUUUCCAUCACAUAUUUUACAGUGUGAAUGAACAGCUUCUUUCAUCUCCUCCUUGUAGAACUAGAAUAAUGCAGGAGGAAGAGUAUUGUACUAGAAUUGAAAAGAUCUGAGUGAUUGUGGGCUACAUUGUUCAGUAGCCUAACCUAUCUCUCAGGCUGUUGUGAAGAUAAACAUGGAAAAGAGGACUGUGUAUAUUGCCCUGAGCUUCUUGAGCUUCGUGUUUUGUAAAGUACUAUGUAUUUUAAUAUAUGCAUUUUAAUGAUAUUAUGUUUUACCUUGGUGUUUUAACUGUGUUAUAUGCUACCUCGAGAUGUGAUGUGAGGCAGAUAACAAAUACAAUUUAUUACUAUUUAUCAUUUUAAUCUUACUGAAAAAGCGGGAUAUAAAUGUAAGGAAUUAAUAAAUAAGUUUGUUUUUAAGCUGUUUUGAUUGUACAUCUAAGGAUGUGUCUACACUGGCCAGUAAAUCUAAGACCGGUUUGGAGCAGAAGCAUUCCCGAUUAGCUCCAGCUACCCCCCCCCCCCCCCCAUUUUGGCAGCAGGUUUGCGUCUACACGGCCCAGUCCUCCCUAUUUCCUGUUUCCAUAGGCACACCUGUUGAUGUCAGAAUGGGGUGCUGAUGAUGGCCAGGAAUUCAUACAGAGCUCUGUGGAUAGCUGGGAACAGCAAUAGUAGCAACAUGGGCGGGAUACAUCCCCUUUUUCUGGUAAUGAUAAGCACAGGUAAAAAAGGUAAUGGUUGUGCUGCCAUGUGUGUACAACGGUUAAUAAUCAGACCUUAUCCAAAUGUCCACAUUGGCUCAAAGCUAUGAGAUAUUUCAGAGUUUCAACCAAACUCCAGAGCAUCCCCUGACUUCCUGUAGUGGGGCAAAGCCAGGUUUUCCUGGCAUAACCUGCAAUACUCACUGGAAGUGGAGGAAUGUCAUGAAGGGAUAGCCAGGAGGCAAAUUAGGGUGACUCUUUUUCUAUGCCCAUGUAAACAAACCCUAAAUGUUGACCAAUUUCUUUUGUUUUUGCUAUGGUAGAGGAAAAAACGUGUCUGGUCACCUCAAAUCCUUUACUGCAAGAAAAGUGAGGUAUAUAUUUAAUUAAUUAAUAAAAUAAAAAUCCUAAAAUUCACGAGCCAGAGUGCUGUGUUCACACAUAAUGAAUUUGACCACACUUUAAUAAAUAUAAUGUUUGACUUCCUUUUUGCAGCCAUGCUGGAUGGUGGAGAACAUAUAGCAUUAAAAUUAUAAAGUAAUUUCCAUUUGGUAUCCUUUGACAGAUAAGUCAUAUAUUAGUAGAACAGAUAUUUUAAUUGUAGAUUAUCUGUUUUAAGUUGGUGUUGUAGUUUUAUAGCAUGAUACUGAACUUCUGGUGAAAAUCAUUGAAUAAUAUCUUUCUAAAUGUGUGUAUGUUUCUUUACAUGAAAUAAUCACAAUAAUUGUGGGAGAGUUUAAAAGAAGAAAGUAAUUAUCUGAUAAUUGAAAAUAAUUAUUAGUAAUGGAAACCGAUUUGCUGUGCUUUAUGCAUGUUAAUUCAUCUAACUUAGAAGUCAACUCCAUGAAGAAGUUCGUUAAACAAAAAGAUUCUACUGUCUCAUGAUAUUCUAGGUACAGAUUAUUUAUUCAUUUACUACAUUUAUAUCCUGCUCUCUCUCACCCCGAGGGGGAUUCAGAGCGGCGUGCAACAUGGCAAUAUUCAAUCCCACAUAUUCACAAAUAAAAAGCAGUACAUCAUGUAUAAAAUUGCAAAUAAAACAUAUAAACACCAUAAAACUAUUAUUCAUUCAGUUCCAAUGAAUGGCUUUCAGUAUGUUUCUUUGAUGAUAGAGUUCUUUAAAUACUUGGGACUCCUUGCCUUAUAACAAUUAUACAGCAAUUACUAUAAUACUGUAUCACAAAGACCUUUUUAAAUUUCACUUUCAACAUUAAUGAAUUUUAAAUUAGUCAUUAUUAAUAGAAUUGCUUAAUAUCAUUUAAAGACUGCUGACUAGAGCCUGCAAUUCUUCUCCCAUUCCAUUUUUAUAUAGAAUUUACAAUGAAUGCAUCCAUUGUUUCAGAUCAGUAUAAUUGCACCAAUCUCCCUUUUUCUUUUUGGACUAGGGGGGUUAAUAGUUUUUUUUAAGAGAAAUUGAUGUAAUACUUACUUGUCAGAGCUGUUCUUUGGAAUUUCUACCAAGGUACAUUCUGUAGGUACAGUGUUUCUAUUCUCUAACAAUAUUUAAAAUAUUAGAAUUAUUUAUUUAUUUAUUUAUUUGCAGCAUUUAUAUUCCGCCCUUCUCACCCCGAAGGGGACUCAGGGCGGAUCACAUUACACAUAUAGGCAAACAUUCAAUGCCUUUUAACAUAGAACAAAGACAAACAAACAUAGGCUCCGAGCGGGCCUUGAACUCAUGACCUCCUGGUCAGAGUGAUUCAUUGCAGUUAAUUGCAGCUGGCUUGCUCUCCCGCCUGCGCCACAGUGCAGUAUUUGAACCAAGUAUUUUCCUGAGACCAGAAUUAUAAAUCCAGUUAUAAUAUGCCAUACUUAUCUGAAGAGUACUCUUGAUCUCAAGUCUAACUAGUAGAGAGGAAGUUUUAACCUUUUAUGUUCCUUGUCCAUGAAUGCAGCAAAAAUAUCUUUGUAGAUUUUCCUUUAAGAUCAGGGGUUCCCAACCUUUGGGCCUCCAAGUGUUUUGGAUUUCAGCUCCCACAGUUACUAACAGCUGGCUGGGAUUUCUGGGAGGUGAAGUCCAAAACACCUGGAGGCCCAAAGGUUGGGAACCACUGCUUUAGAUGAAAAUACCAUAUAGUACAACCCUGAUAUCCAAGGUGGAUGAUUCUUGACUUUCCACAUAAAGCUGCAGAUAAUAGCAAACCUUAUCAAAAUGAUCAGUUUCUAGCAGAAUAAUGCUGGAGGCCAUGGAAAAUGCUUAGAGAGAACAUGGUAACUGAAGCCUUGGAUACCAGUUCUGUGAAUAUGGGAAUCAUACUGUAAUGUUUCAAAAAGACGGUGCUUGAACUGUAUGAAGAGAAACAUAAUUGUUGAAUGCUCCAUUUCCAUCUUCAUGGAUUUUUGGAUUGUCAAAGACCUUUUAUGGCUGCUUUUCAUAUGAAAAUACACAUUUUAAUUGCAUUUACGCUGAGCGUAACUCCUUACUGCUACAGGUGUAUUUUAUUUUAGAAUCAAUAUUUUCUGUUAAAAAUCAAUAUUCCCUGUAACAAUAUUGAAAGUUUUAUUAUUAUUUAUUCAUUUAUAUCCCGCUUUUCCCCCCAUCGGGGAUUCAAAGCAGCUAACAACAAGGUAUAAAACAUACAGGUACAUUAGAACAAAAAGGAAAUAAAUAUAGUCAGUAAUAGCAAUUAACACAUAAUAAGACAAUUAAACCAUAAUAAAACGCAUUACAGAUUAAAAUACAAUCAGCACUUUAGGUAUAGUUAAAAACUACAUAAACAUUUUUAAAAGGCUAUCACAACUAAAAGGACAAAUUUUGGACUCUUUCUCCCUCUCUCUCUCUCUCUCCCUCCCCCUCUCUCCCCCCCCCCCCCCCGGGCCGGCCAAUGUGUAGGUGUCUAUAAAGCAUUUUGUAACUGCUGCAAUUUGAAAUGAGGUUGAAGCUGCAUUAAAAGUCAUUGUAAGUGUGUCAUUAAUUCUCUAGUGCUAUUCUAUGGUAUUCUUUCGGCUCAAGUAAAGUCAAAAUAUGGGAAUGGGUAUUAUCCUCAGUUUUGGUUAUCCACUGAGAUGUGUGUGGUAAUUGUACUGUAUUUUUUCUGUGUGUAGAAAUUGGGCUCUUUUCUCUUAGUGCUCAUGGUGUGUGUGUGCGCAUAUGUGUAUGUGUGUAUAUGUAUAUAUGUAUAUAUAUAUAUAUAUAUAUAGAGAGAGAGAGAGAGAGAGAGAGAGAGAGAGAGAGCGAGAGCGAGCGCAAGAGAUCCACAUCAGUUUGUUAUGUUUCAGAAAAUUUUCAUUCUGGGAAUAAGUCAUCUUCUGAACAUUUCUAAAAUAUUCAAGUGCCAGAUUCUGUACAAGUCUGAUUUCUGAAUGAUUCCUUUUAAAAGCUGGAGAAUAUGGAUGGAGCUUAAUAAAAGUAAAUUAAUCCUUUUUCAAUCUAUGUUCUCCACCGCCACCCUUGCCAGGUUUGGUGGGAAUCUGAGGGGCCUUCUUCAGUGACCAUUUAAUGCAGUUUCAAACCAGUAUUGAAGAAAGUAAUUUCGCUGUGCAGGUAAUUACAUAGGAAAUCCUGGAACCAGUUUGAGGCACAGAUGGUGUUUUAGACCAGUCACAAAGCACUGGUGCACAUUAAGGGUUUUAUAUUGCAUGGUUUGUGGAUGUUUGUUGUCUGACCCCACAAUUUGAAGCUAGCAAUUUUGAAUUUCAUUAAAUGCAGCUUUUGAAGAAGUGUAGAUGGGGCCUGAGAUGGAGAAAAAAAAGAUAUAACCGUAAAAGUGGAUCAGGGAAUGUGUAAUUCUCCCCUCAUGUUUGAAAGACUUGGUAUCUGUGGGCCAGACUAUAUGGGCCUGUUAAUAAAUAUUUCAGACUGUUUUCUAAAAUAGGUUAUCCGAAGACCAGGUAUAAAGCGAUCUUAUGUGGAUUGGUGAUUUAAUUUGUGAUCUUAGAUGAGAAAGUUAAUUUUUUAACAUUUUGAAUAAUUUAUUAAUUGGUAUCACAAAUCAAUUACUCGGUUCACUUAAAUAAUAAUUUCAAAGGAGUCCAUUUUUAUUACCUAUCAAUUAACAUAAUUUUUCUGUGUUCACAUGGUUCAUAGAAAAGAUUUUUGGCAUAAAAUUUUACAGAUACAAGUAUCUUGUGAGCUGAUAAGUAAGCUAGAAAUUAUUAUUAUUAAUAUUAAUAUUCUGCCUUUUCUGUCCACAAGGAGACUCAAAGCGCUUAACAAUUAACAAUUUAAAAUCUACAAAUCUACAAACAUUACAACAGAAUUUUAACAACAAUAGUAUUAAAAAAUUCAGUUAAAAUCCAUAAACAUACUCAAAGCUAAAAAGUAGCCGUCAAGUUAAAACAACAUAUAGUACUGUGUAUACUGGACCAUCUACAUGCAUAGUUCUCCUAUCUUCUUGAAAAACAGAAUUUUCUAUCUACUAAUGUUAAACACAAAUGUCUAAUAUGUGAUAUAUGUGACUUCUAUGGAAAAUCUACAUAGGUAAGCCUCCCUUUGUUUUUGUUGCAGAAGAAAUAGUUAAUACCUGUUCCUCCAAUGGCUUAUUCCCCAUUAGAAGUUUAGUCUGGAAUCUAGAUGACAAUUUUACCAGUUACAAAAUUGAUGUUUCUUAAAAAGGGGUACUUCAGCAUUUUGUCAAAGCUGGCACAAAACAGGUGAAAUACAUCAUGAAAGUUCUUCUUUCCUGGUAUAAAAUCAUGCUCAAUCUCACAGCAUAAAUUAUCCUUCUCAACUUGUUUUAUGCAAAACAAAUUCAGAAUUGCAAGAACUGUGGAAAUAGGGGUCAUGUUCUUGGCCUCACCUGAAGAGCAGAGUUUAAGAUAAUCUCUCUGGUGUGGCAUUACAUAUCUAUCAACUCACUUUAGACUAGAUCCAAAAAUUAAUGAAAGUGCAAAGUGCUUGCAUAUUCCCUUUUUCCACAUUUCAAAAAGUACCUAACAUUUUCUGGAGGACAAUUUUUUGCAUUUUCUGCAAUUUCUUGUGCAUGUGUGGAGAUCCCAAAGUACACACAAGCAGAUUUCUUAUCUCUCUCUUCACCCAACUGUUAAUUCAAGCUCUGUUUACUAUUAUAAGAAAGGAAGGAAUGGUUGCAGAGAGUUUUAAUUGCAUUCAAGUUGUGCUUACCUUUAGCCAUCUGUGUGCCUCUGUCUCCAUUUUUGACAGCCUGAUCAGCUGUUUUGGGCUUUUAAAAGGCGCACAUGCACAGGAGCAAUCCAUAGAGAGGACGAGAAGGAAGUCAGAUGUUUUCCAUGACUGCAGAAAUAUACAGUGAUGUGAAAAUGCACAUUUUUUUUUGCGUGGAAUCGGGUUUUAAACCUUUUAAACACAUGCUUUUCAGCUGUUAACCCGAUUGCACCCACACUUUCCCCAAACAUUGUUUAACCACACAAACCCUUUUAUCCAGGUUCUUCUGGAUUUUACUGCAUGUGAAGAAUAACCCUAAGACAAACGUAUCAUGAAGUUUUCUAAGACUGAUUUGUUUACAGGGGGGUUGCUUUUGUUCUUGCCUUUCUCUGAAGCUGAGAAUGUGACUUGACUAAGAUCACCUAUUGGGUUUCCCUGACGGUACAGGGAUUCAGAGCUUUGUCUCCCAGCUUCCAAGUUCUGAACUGAGAUCACCAUGCCAUGCUGGUUCUCUGUGUACCAAGGCAAGAAGAAAACAUGAGUAGCGAAUGUCUGCUAUUGUGACCUUCCAUUUCAUUCAUGGAAUUAUGACCUUUGAUCAAAGAUGUAGUUGACCCAUUAUGUUUUCAGACUCCAAUUUCCAGAUGUCAGAGCCUGCACUUUUUAUGUCUGGGGGGCUAAAUGAUUGCAUUGUCAAAUGAGAUAUUUUAUUAUAGUAGUACAAUUUUGAAGUUGAGCAAUACUAGUUUCAUGGAGAUCACAGUGUAACUUUCAGGCAUAAUGCACUGUAUUUAUUCAAAAGCUCCAGGUAGAAACAGGGAACUUAAGUCCUUCUGGUUAUAUUUGCUUGAAAUGAUAGGCCAGAAUUCAAGAUUCAUAAGCAAUAUGCUCCUGCUGGCUGCCCAGUUUUUCCUAAUUGGUUCCUCCCAUGAACAGAGGUCCGUAAUAAUAAAAUCAUUAGAAAGAAACAGCCCAACAUUACAUGACAAUCCAAUUCCUGGUUUGUAACUCGCAAACAGGGUAGGAUACAGAAACAAACCCAAAUAACAAAUAAAUUCUGGCUGACUC